UCCUUGGCGCUUGUACUCCGGAUCCUUGGCGCUUGUACUCCUGAUCCUUGGCGCUUGUACUCCUGAUCCUUGGCGCUUGUACUCCUGGUCCUUGGCGCUUGUACUCCUGGUCCUUGGCGCUUGUACUCCUGGUCCUUGGCGCUUGUACUCCUGGUCCUUGGCGCUUGUACUGAUCCGGAUUCUGUUCUGAUUGCAGAGCUCAUAGACUUCAAGACGAGAAGAGUGGCAGCUUUCAGGAAGAACCUGGUGGAGCUGGCAGAGCUGGAGCUCAAACACGCCAAGGGGAACCUCCAGCUGCUGCAGAGUUGUCUGGGUGUCCUGAAAGGUAACACUUAACUGUUCGACGCUGCUCAACAUCGACCGGACACGCCCCUUUUAUACAACCCCGUCCACAUCAACUGGGCACCCACUGUGGGCGGAGCCUGGGUGGACGAAUGACAUUGAGAACUGUGGACCGGAGAGAGAACAGACAUGAAGUGUGUCGUCUUCAUCACUAACCAGACACCAUCCUCUUCAUCUUCUCUUCUCUUCCCAGUCCUCUCCAGCAGCAUUAUCCGACCUGAAGCACCUGUACCGGUUCUACUGGUCCAUUAUCAGACCUGAAGCACCUGUACCGGUUCUAUUGGUCCAGCAGGACUAGUGUGAUCAGCCUCUUUCUCUCCUGAGUGACAUUCACAUAGAACUUUAUUAUCACAGAAAAGACAAAACAAAUUCAUGUUUUUAUCCAAAUUAAACAAAUCCUUCCCAGUCUAUCAGUUCUACUGUGGUGAUACUGGUCCCAGUCUAUCAGUUCUACUGUGGUGAUACUGGUCCCAGUACAGUAUCUGAUUAUCAGUUUCUUUUAAUGAACAAAAUUUCUCAAAGUUCAAACAUCAAGAACUUCAAAAUAAAUAACUUUUAUUUAAAGGAGAACUUAUAUGAUAGAAGAAAACAUGUUAAAUUGGACCCGAGAUGAUCAAUACCAGCAGAUCAGGUAUCCAUCAGGUAUCGGCCCUGGCACGACCGAUCCACCUGAAAAAACGAUCCCAGUCUGCUACUUCAGCAGGAACUGGUCCCAGUUGGUCUCUGAUUGUCUCAACAUCUUAUGAACUGUUUUUGUCUUCUGCUGAGUCAGAAGUCUUUCAACCUGUUUCUAUUUAAAAUGUUUUCAUAAUUAUCACAUAAUAUAACCAGUUAUUACCCCACAGUAACAGUUAUUACCCCACAGUAAACGACUGAUUUCAUAAUUCUGUGAAAACUAUUUUCUCUUUUCUGUGGAGUCGAUGAGCUCCAGUAAACAUGAACUAGUUUCCUGUCGAUGUUUAGAAUGUGAGGAUGAAAAGUGAAGACGUUUCUAACUAGACUCUUCUUCACUUCAGGAAAACAAGACUUUUAGGACUCAAAGACAUGGAGAUAUUUUCCAGGGAAGGUUCACUGUGUCUCUCCUUUUGUCUGUCUUAUUUUGGUUUUAUUGUGUAGGUGAACUUCCUGUUCUGCUGCUGUGUGACGCGUUCAGAGUCCAGCUGUCGGUUCUUAUUAAAGCGUAACGUCACUACAUAAAGAAGCUUUGUAUUAGUUAACUAAUGAACGCUAGUCUCCAUCAUCCUCAUCUUCACUAAUGUAGCUCGUUUUUCUUUGAUCUGCUGUUUGUUGCCAUGGAGACCAGCGGCUCCGUUUGAUUCAUUGUUCAGAAUGUUUUAUUUUUUAAAGUCACAGUAUACGAAUGUUUUUUCACUCUUAUGUGACCAAAGCUUCCAUUUCUGAUUCAAGAUGGAGACGAGAAAAAGAGAAAUAAAAAGAGUAAAAUAAUAAAAAGAUGAUUUAUGAUUCACGUUUUCAUUGUUUAAAGUUUCAUGAGGUCUGUAAUCCAGCAGAGACUCAAUAAACCUUUAUGGACACUUUUCUUACA